AUGGAGGUUGCCAUAUCUGCAGUUACAGGUGAACUUUUGAGCAGGUUCAUCUCCUUCCUGAUGAACAAGUAUCGCUCCUCCUUAAGCCAUGCACACUCAAAGGAGCAAAAGAAGAUGAUGGAGAGGUUGCAGCACCUCCUGAUGAGGGCUGGCACCAUCGUUGAGGAGGCGGACGCACGGUACAUAACCAACUCUGGAAUGAUGACACAGCUCAAGAAGCUCUCAGAGGCCAUGUACCGAGGAUGCCGCGUGCUGGACACCUUGAGGUACGGAACCCUCCAAGACAGUGGAAGCUUCGACGAGGUUAGCAACGACUCAUCCAUCAGCUGCUUGUAUUUAGCCAAGCGUUCUCGAACAACUGGCAAGGCCGUGCACCUCGAGUCACAUGAUACCUUGGAAAGCUUAGAAAUUGCUGUUGCUAACAUGGCAGAAUUUGUUGUGCUUCUGGGUGGAUGCGACCGCAUGUCUCGUAGGCCAUACAACGUUUAUCUUUACACCGAAAACUUCAUGUUCGGCCGGCAUGCUGAGAAGCAGAAGCUCUUGAGCUUCUUGCUGCAGCACAGUGACCCUCAUGGUGAUCAUGCACCGGCCAUUCUUCCAGUCAUAGGUGGUGCCUCGGUAGGAAAGAAAACUUUGGUUGCUCAUGUGUGUGGCGACGAAAGAGUUCACUCACGCUUCUCCUCCAUUUUGCACUUGAAUGGAGACAGCUUUAUGAGGAUACUUGACAACGGAAGGAGCAUGUUUGGGAUGGUGCUGGUGGUUAUUACGUUUUCUUCUGAUAUAGGAGACGAUGAUUGGAAAAAGUUUCACUCCUUUGUCAUAACAAUGGGCAGAGGAAGCAAGAUCAUCAUCAUAAGUAGACUUCAAAGUCUAGCUCGAUUUGGAUCGGUGAAACCGAUUUUCCUAACUGUUCUGUCUUAUGACGAGCUGAGGUACCUUUUCAAGACACUAGUAUUUGGAAGUGUAGACCCCAUGCAACAUCCACGGCUCGUAGAAAUAGCAGAUGAAUAUGUCAAGGUGUUGCACAGUACACAAGGUUCACUUGUCGCAAUAAAUAUGUUCGCGGAUGUGUUGAGAAGGAACCUCAAUGUUCAGUUCUGGCGUGGUAUAUUGGAAAGGGGGUUACGAAUGGUUAAAAGAAACCUCUCCAUAUACGGUGUGCACCCAACCAUCCUUAUAGAACAAGGCCAUCCGGUGGACAUAACGGACUUUGCUUUGCAUCCACUUAGCAUGACACGUUAUACAGUUAAUGUUUCAACCAAGAAGGAAUCGCCAAGCGUGACAUUUGGCCAAUUGAUAACAGAUCCUAGUGUUAGACCGAAAGAAGAUUUCAUUUUAAUUUCAUGGGAAUCAAGGAUACCCCCUCAUACCUCGUUUGCUCGUUUUGUUACGAGUCAUGCUCAGGAUACACAUGAAGGGCCAGGGAGGAAGCGACGAGGAGUGCCUAUGUAA
rnacentral:rRNA from 1 species